GGCUAACAAAAACUCCUUAUGUAAAAUUAAUAGGAGCAAAACCCAGAAGGAUCUUUCUGCAUUAAGAACAUGUCCCUCAAAAGCAGUCGGCUGAUAAAGCUUAAAAAGAUACGUUCCUGGCUACUCAAGGUGCCUGCUAAGGGAAAGUGUUGGGCACCCACAGUGUUGCCCCAUGGUGUGACUGCUGAAGCCAGUCAAUGCCAUCAGCAUUAGUGUCUGCACCAGCACAUUUCUGGGGAGCUGCAGUGGUUUCUAGCAUAGGUUUUGGUCAUACCUUACUCUGCGUCUUCUUCAAGCCAAGCUGCAAACCAAAUGUUGACAUUGUCUUAUAACACUCUCCAAUUGCAAAGAAGACCAGCUCAAGCCUGCCCCAAGUUUUGUUGGUCCCUUGGUGGAAAAUAGACCCAACUGUAUUCUGUUCUGGGCGAUGAAAAAAGAAGUUUAAACCAAAUAGUUUCUUAACUAAUUCCAUUCACUAACAAUAUCUUACUGGAAAAAACAAAGCAGACUCAUUGGCCUUCUCAGUCAUCACUUGCAUAAGCUCUCUGUAUUAGGCAAGGUCUGAAGUGAGCAAACAGUCAAUUCCCGAGUCCUGAUGGUCAACCUCAGAACUGGUGUGACUCAAAGGAAGAGCUCAAUCUCCUUAUGAAAAGGCAUAGCAUUCUAAUGUCCUUGCAUUCAGAUAACGUGAAUGAAGGCAAAAGCAAUUCAUCUUUCCCAGCAGCAUAGUCAUAUGAAAAUACGUCUUAGAGGUCUCAGCUAUGACAGGAAAACUACCUAUCAUUUUAUGUUGUCAACAUGAAGAGCAUUAAAGAUUUCUAUGCUUAACAAUGCCAAACAAAAAAAGCAUAGGGGAGGUCAAGCCAUAUUCAUUACUGCUUCAGAAACUGCUUUUAGGUCCAUUUCAAAACAAAGGUCUCAUGACAUCUUCCAAAAUGAUGUAAAUCUCAGCCUCUUCUGAUUUAAACUUCCAUGAUGGUGUUCUGCACCAUAACCCCCAUAAUUGUUAUCUCUAAAGUGUAAUUUUCCAAGCCUCCAGGACAGGAGCUGUGCAAACAAUUGAUUUUUUCAGCUCUUCAGCUAAUCUGAAAAAUUGAGAAUGAAAUCGGUUGCAGUCAUUGCCAAAUGGCUUUUUUUUUUUCUCAUUUAAACAAUAGACAAAAUGGUUGCAGAGUAAAAUCCACUCAUGAUUCAAAUCUUUGUCCAAUCCAAAAUGUGAUGUUUUCCUUUGGUUUUGGAAUUUUACUCUGUUUAAAAAGCUUUACAUUUUUAAUAUUUUAAUCUCUCUCUUUCCCUCCUCCUGGGAAUGAAACUAUUCACUGAAUUUUAGUCCUCUGUGCAAGUAUGUAUGCCCUCUUACCCCUUUGUCCUAGUUGCAUUUUCAUGGUAGAAAAAUACUUACUUCCCCAGCCUCAAUUGCCUGUCCUCUUCAGGGUGGCCAGAGGCCCAUUGCAUGAGGCUGUGACUCUCAAUAUUAUGAAUCAAACCCAGAUCGCCUGUUUUUGUCCAGAAGACUGGAAAAGGCCAUAUAUAGUGCCCAUUGUGAAAAAGAAGGGGAAAGGAGCUGAAGAAUUAAAAAAGAAGAACAAAUAACAAAAAAAAUAUAAAUAAAUAAAUAAAUAAAUUCCUCCCCUUUCCCCUCAGCUUAAUUCAAUUCUUGGAGAAAGUCUGGAACAGAACAAAAAAAAAUAAAACUGUCUAUAAACAGCUAAGGCGGACUGAGUAACUGUCAAUGCGGAUUAGUCAGAGCAAACUAUUUGAAAGAAAUGUACUUGAAGAACUAAGGAAACAUUGGGAACUGGGUGGAUAA